UACGUAGGGACCAAGCGUUGUUCGGAUUUACUGGGCGUAAAGGGCGCGUAGGCGGCCCUACAAGUCACUUGUGAAAUCUCCGGGCUUAACUCGGAACGGCCAAGUGAAACUGUAAGGCUAGAGUGCAGAAGGGGCAAUCGGAAUUCUUGGUGUAGCGGUGAAAUGCGUAGAUAUCAAGAGGAACACCUGAGGUGAAGACGGGUUGCUGGGCUGACACUGACGCUGAGGCGCGAAAGCUAGGGGAGCGAACGGG
rnacentral:rRNA from 1 species